GAUGAACGCUGACAGAAUGCUUAACACAUGCAAGUCCACUGUGGCGGACGGGUGAGUAACGCGUAAAGAACUUGCCUCACUGCUCGGGACCACAUUUGGCAACGAAUGCUAAUAACUGAAACUGUGAGAGAGCUUUGCGUCCCAUUAGCUAGUUGGAGAGGUAACGGCUCACCAAGGCGAUGAUGGGUAGCCGGCCUGAGAGGGUGAUCGGCCACAAGGGGACUGAGACACGGCCCUUACUCCUACGGGAGGCAGCAGUGGUGAAUAUUAGACAACGGACCACAGUUUGAUACAGCGAUGCUGGGCGGAAGAUUAAGUUUUCAGAAUGUACAGUGCUUUUAGUUGUGGAGCGGGAACACCCCAAGACGCCGCUGCUCAGUACAUGCCAGCAGCCGCGGUAAUAC
rnacentral:rRNA from 1 species